rnacentral:hammerhead_ribozyme from 1 species
AGCUGGCUGACGAGUCUCAAACAGGACGAAAUGUGCAUCCUGGAU